UGUGCUUCACAGGUGUUUUGUUGUGAAAAAUAAUUGAUAUUUUUAAUCUCCAAACAUGAAAGCUUUAUUAAUUUUCGAUAGUGUUAAUGACCUGGUUUUUUCAAAAUGGGACGACUCUUUCAUAAGGCACCUGAGAAAUUUUAGUGUACAGGACUUUGAAGAAAAUGUAAGUGACAGUGUAAAUGUGUCUCAGAUAUUUACACCCAUUAUACUAUCGCAGAGGGUUAUGGCGGCACAAUUUGGUAACACAUACUCCUCCAUGCAGUGUAAAGAUGGUACAACAAUAUUUUUUGAUGAGUGGUUAGAUCAUGUUUUUAUUAUAAUAUGUGAGGAUUGUUUGGAUGAUGCACAUAGAGAACUACUCGAUUGCAAAACUCUUGUACAACACAUUUGUGGGCAAAACAUAAACCUCUUGCACUCACCAAUCUACCAGGACUGGCUUUCGGUACUACUGGACUGCCGAACUAAAGGAGACUCAAUCCCUGGAGCGAAUGGAGUGAUCGGUGAGAGCGGUGCAACAUCUGCCGCUCUGAAUGCACUCAAAACUUCAUCUAAAGAUUUCAAAAUUUCCUAUUCACAUUAUCAUUUAUUGCUGUUCGUUGGAGACAAACUGCUAUCGCUGUACUCUAGCCGUAGUAGUGAUGAUCUGUCUCCUCCAGAUUUAAUCCUGUUAAGUAUACAAUGUAUAGCGGCUCAAGAACAUUGGAAAGACGCUAAACUUGAAGAUAAUGAACAUUUUGUGAAGCUACCGUGGUUGUCAAAAGAGAAUAGUGCAAUAAUAAAUUUGUGUGCUGGUCCAAUGGGUACCCCAUGUGCCCCGCACUCCAUGCACCUCGCCGAGGUCGCUCCCCGUAUCACUUUUGCUGUUGUCGCUGAUAUGGACCUCAGGGAAGUGGGCAUUGCAGCUAAUUUGUCAUGUCAGAUACUCUCGAACUUAAGGAGAAUUUUAUUGCAAAGGAAUCUGGAAUUACUGCCUUCUACGCUUGAUAAUUUAGAAGUGGCCCUGAAAAAGACUACAGAUUCUUUGCGUAAAAAUAAGGCUAAUGCUAGUCUAUGCGCUCGUUUGACAAGUCGCAUGCUAGAGUUGCGCAAGUCCUGCACGACCACGACCCCGUUGACGCCGGAAACCACUGCGACGGCCAUGCACACUGCCUUGGAAGCUGUCAUCGAGCAGCUCAAACCGGAUAUACCGAGUCUCAAGUUAGGGCAGGCAUUGAAACAUCUUAAGAAUCUUCUGGCGCCGUACGUUGAAUUCCUUCGUGUGAAAGCGAUGAGAUUCUUCAGCUUGGGAUCGGGCGAGACAGAUGUCAGUGGUUCCCUAACGCUGCACAAGUAUGUGGAGGAAUUCCCCGGCCUCAUACAUUUCAUUUACGUGGAUCGGACAACUGGACGAUUCCUGGCUCCAGAUAUGGCCGAUUGCGCAGAGAUGUUGCCGCCUGAAGUGAUAAAGAGCACGGUGCGGCGAGCGCUGAGCGUGCUGCGCGAGGGGUACAGCGCGGCGACGUGGCGGCGCGGCGCGUUCCACGUGUGCGCGGUGCGGUGGUGGCAGCGCGGCGCCGCGCCCUGCCGCCCCGCGCGCCCCCCGCCGCCCGCCGCCCUGCGCGCGCUGCCGCCGCCCGGGGACAUCCUCGCCUCGUUCUACAGGCAAUUGCUCGAGCAGUCAUUUCCAAACGACAGCCAGGGAGUGAACAUCAAGGAGUUGAUAUGCGUCCACUUGGGCCUGUUGCCGGCUUCGACGGCCGUGCAGCAGGCGCGCCGCCUCGCGCACUCCGUACACGAACUCGCCAGCGACAUCCCCGCCAUCGCCGCAGACCUACUCUGAAGCCGUACCCUGGCUGUGUGGCGGCCUGGAACACCCCGUCUCUUCUAAUGGCCACUAAAGGUGUCGCCGCGAAACGGGAAUUACAUCACACUAAUGAAAAUAGCUGUCUAGCUGAUAUAGGUACAGUAAGUAGUAAUAAAGUGUCAUAUUGAUAUUAAUAAUAAGAUGAUUUGUUGAAAAUUAUACAUAGGUGUUGGUAAUAACUAUAAGGCAAAAAAACAUUCCAGAUAUUAUUUUUAUUUUAUGUAUCUAUAGACAUUUUGUUUUUUUUUUUUGUUUUUAGUAACUUACACCGAAGUUGCUACAAGAAAACAUUAUUAUGUGGCAGAAAAUAUAAUUCUUAACUGAAUGACUCACAGACAACUUUACUAAUUGCCGGAAGUAAUACUCCGAUGUGGGGCAAAUGAACUGAAUACUAUAAAUAUAAUUUCUAUUGGAGUAAUUUCAAGCUCAGAAACAAAAAAGAAUACCAUUCUCUUAUGGGACUUCAAACUCUAAUUUGAGGUAAUAAGGUUGAGUUUUAUUCAAACCAUACUUUUGACAACAGGGGACAAAUGUAACUACUGAUUGCAGAACCAGUCUUGAAACAUAUCGCUUCGGUAUUUUUUAGUUCAGAAUGUUAAAAAAAGUAUACGUAUUAAGGCAUUUUUUAUGAGAAUCAUAGUCGUGGCUAACAGCUACCAUAUCUGUACACACGUACUUAUGGUACAAGUACCUACUUAGCCUAAACAAUAAAAAUCGUGUCUUUCACUACAUAGGCCCGUUGCCAAUUUUAAGGCUUCAUUUUAUGGCUGAGAGAUUGUGCUUGAACCUCAACGAAAUACCUGACCCGGUAGUAUCAGAUAUUGUAGGUUCUAGCUUGCCGACACGCCUGAUGUGGGUUCACAUUGGCUGGGCCGGGAGUUCGUCCACCUAUCGUAGCAAGAAAAAGUUAUAGUUAGCUAGAUAUUACCUAUGUUGGACGCAGAUUUUAAUAACAUAGCUAAUUUGCAUAAAUAUAGUCCUAUAUUAAUUUGGCGUACUUACUGUACAGUGUACAUUGUAUUUUAAAGUACUGUAAUUCUUGUAAUAAUCAUUCUAUUUUAGUAUGGAUCUAAAAUCUUAUUUUUCUGUUCGCGCAGUAUUUUGCUUUUGAUUACGAUUUUGCUCACUUGACCAUUAGAUUAAAGGCAUUCGCCUACUAAGUUUCUCGCUGGAUCUCCGAUCCGGUAGUAAAUUCAUUCGCGAAGCAGUUACUUUUGAGUUGUUAGGUCUCCUUUGGAGGCGCUCGGGUAGCUG